ACUGAUGUGGGCGACUAUCAGGUAAAACUACGCAACCUGAUUCGCUUUUUAGAAGAUGGAGCAAAAGUAAAAGUAACGAUCCGUUUUCGUGGUCGUGAAAUGGCUCACCAAGAGAUUGGACGUGAAAUGCUAGAACGUGUUAAAGCGGAUACAGCAGAGUUAGCCGUUGUAGAAUCUGCACCGGGUAGACUUGAAGCACGUCAAAUCGUGAUGGUACUUGCUCCUAAGAAGAAAUAAUUAGAGCUUACAAGUAAUUAAGCGGCCACAUUUAUAUUAUUUUUAACGAAAGCUUUUUAAAUAAAGGUUUUUGCAAAAUUUUGUAAUAAUGUUAC
rnacentral:misc_RNA from 1 species